GAUGAACGCUGGCGGCGUGCCUAAUACAUGCAAGUCGAGCGAACGGACGAGAAGCUUGCUUCUCUGAUGUUAACGGCGGACGGGUGAGUAACACGUGGAUAACCUACCUAUAAGACUGGGAUAACUUCGGGAAACCGGAGCUAAUACCGGAUAAUAUUUUGAACCGCAUGGUUCAAAAGUAAAAGACGGUCUUGCUGUCACUUAUAGAUGGAUCCGCGCUGCAUUAGCUAGUUGGUAAGGUAACGGCUUACCAAGGCAACGAUGCAUAGCCGACCUGAGAGGGUGAUCGGCCACACUGGAACUGAGACACGGUCCAGACUCCUACGGGAGGCAGCAGUAGGGAAUCUUCCGCAAUGGGCGAAAGCCUGACGGAGCAACGCCGCGUGAGUGAUGAAGGUCUUCGGAUCGUAAAACUCUGUUAUUAGGGAAGAACAUAUGUGUAAGUAACUGUGCACAUCUUGACGGUACCUAAUCAGAAAGCCACGGCUAACUACGUG
rnacentral:rRNA from 1 species